rnacentral:rRNA from 1 species
CGCCUGUUUAACAAAAACAUGUCUUUUUGAAUUUAAUUUAAAGUCUGACCUGCCCACUGAAAAAUUUUAAAUGGCCGCAGUAUACUAACUGUGCAAAGGUAGCAUAAUCAUUAGUCUUUUAAUUGAAGGCUGGUAUGAAUGGUUGGACGAAAUAUUAACUGUUUCAUGAAUAUUUAUAAUAGAAUUUUAUUUUUUAGUCAAAAAGCUAAAAUUUAUUUAAAAGACGAGAAGACCCUAUAAAUCUUUAUAUUUAUAUUAUUAUAAUUUUUUAGAUUUUUUUUAUUAUAAUAAUAAAUUAUAUUUUAUUGGGGUGAUAUUAAAAUUUAAUAAACUUUUAAUUGUUUAAAUCAUUAAUUUAUGAAUAAUUGAUCCGUUAUUAGCGAUUAAAAAAACAAGUUACUUUAGGGAUAACAGCGUAAUUUUUUUGGAGAGAACAUAUCGAUAAAAAAGAUUGCGACCUCGAUGUUGGAUUAAGAUAUAAUUUUAGGUGUAGCCGCUUAAAUUUUAAGUCUGUCCGACUUUUAAAUUCUUACGUGAUCUGAGUUCAGACCGG